AAAAGUGACUACUUUGCAAAUU
rnacentral:snRNA from 1 species